rnacentral:rRNA from 1 species
AGCGAACGCUGGCGGCAGGCCUAACACAUGCAAGUCGAACGAACCUUUCGGGGUUAGUGGCGGACGGGUGAGUAACACGUGGGAACGUGCCUUUAUGUUCGGAAUAACUCAGGGAAACUUGUGCUAAUACCGAAUGUGCCCUUCGGGGGAAAGAUUUAUCGCCUUUAGAGCGGCCCGCGUCUGAUUAGCUAGUUGGUUGAGGUAAUGGCUCACCAAGGCGACGAUCAGUAGCUGGUCUGAGAGGAUGAUCAGCCACAUUGGGACUGAGACACGGCCCAAACUCCUACGGGAGGCAGCAGUGGGGAAUCUUGCGAAAUGGGCGAAAGCCUGACGCAGCCAUGCCGCGUGAAUGAUGAAGGUCUUAGGAUUGUAAAAUUCUUUCAACGGGGACGAUAAUGACGGUACCCGGAGAAGAAGCCCCGGCUAACUUCGUG